GCUGGGUGCAGUGGCUCACGCCUGUAAUCUCAGUGGUUUGGGAGGCUGAGGCAGGAGGAUCGAAGGUUCAAAGCCAGCCUCAGAAAAAGUGAGGCGCUAAGCAACUAAGUGAGACCCUGUCUCUA
rnacentral:sRNA from 1 species